AGGUGUGAGUUGGAUGAGCGGAGGCUUCGGGUGGCAGGUUUUGGGGCAAGGAGUUCUUUGAGGUAUGGGGGAGCAUGUCCGAGGAUACACUGGUGAGUGAGGAGGGCGAUCUUAUCAGUUCGGAAUUUGAUGGGUUAGGGUUAGGCCAGUGCAGAGAACGGAGGAUGGGUGUGAUGUGGUCGCUUUUCCGCACCCUCAUCAGGAUCCUAGCAGCGCUGUUUUGGAUGUACUGUAGCCUCUGGAGGCUCUUGCUAGGGAUCCCGAUGAGGAGUGCGUUACAAUAGUCUAGCCUGGAGGAGACAAAGGCGUGGACAAAUUUCUCAGCAUCCGUCAGGGUAAGUGUGGGGCAGAGUUUAGAAAUAUUCCUGCGGUGGAAGAAGGAGGUUUUGCAGAUGUGUUUUAUGUGUGACUCUAGGUUGAGUUGAGGGUCCAGUUUCACACCCAGGUUGGUGACAGUGGCUGAGAGGGGGAUAGUGUGACCGGCGAAUGAGAUGCUUGUUAUUGGGCAGGUAUGGAUCUGAUAGGGAGUGCCAAUUAACAUGGCUUGAGUUUUGUCACUGUUGACUUGCAGGAAGCUGAGAUUCAUCCACGGCUUUAUCUCCUCCAGACACAGGGAGAGGAUGGAUGAGGGAGAUGGAGGAGGCUGGGUUGUGGAGGGCGGGGGGUCGAGUUUGACGUAUAGCUGGGUGUCGUCCGCAUAACAAUGAUAUGAGAUGCCGGACUUCCUGAUUAUAUUGCCGAGGGUGAAGAGGGUAGGACCGAGUACAGAUCCCUGGGGGACACCGGAGGUGACAGUGUGUGUGUGUCGGAUUUUUUCCCUUCCAGGGAAACGUACUCGGUUCGGUUCGAGAGGUAGGACUGAAGCCAGGUUAGAGCAGUGCCAGAGAAUCCAGUGGAGUGCGGUUGAUUAAGGAGGAUAUUGUGGUGGACAGUGUCAAAUGCAGCAGACAGAUCCAACAGAAUGAGGAGUGACGGGGAGCCUGUAUCGGCAGCCAUGAGAAGGUCGUUGGUGACCCUAACAAGGGCUGUUUCAGUGCUGUGGCCAGAGCGAAAACCGGAUUGAAAUUUCUCAGCGAUGUUAUUGUGGGUGAGAUGAGUGUGAAAUUGGGCAGCUACCACUUUUUCCAGAACCUUGGAGAGGAACGGGAGGUUUGAUAUCGGUCUGUAGUUGGCAAGGUUGUCCGGGUCAAGUGAGGAUUUUUUUAGCAGGGGGGUAAUGAUGGCUGUCUUCAAUGCAGGGGGUACAGAGCCAGACUGGAGUGACAGGUUGAUGACAUUGGUUAAGUGACUAAUGGCUGAGGUUUGUUGUUUAAUGAGGGCUGUGGGGAAAGGGUCCAGGGCACAUGUGGAGGGUUUCAUCUUUUUGAUGAUGUCCUCUACCUCCGACUGCAAGAUGGGGGAGAAGCAGCGGAGAGGCUGGACUGUCCCGGGUGACAGGAAGGGGCUGGGAGCGGAUGUUGUCAACCUUAGCGGUGAAGAAGGUCAUGAAGUUAUUGCACACUACCUCUGAGGAGUCUGUUGAAGUGGUGGGUUGGGGUUUGAGAAAGUGGUUGAUGGUUGAAAAGAGCUGUUUUGAAUUUCCAGGGGUAUUGUUUAUGAUAUUGGAGUAGAACUGGGCACGUGCAGUCCCAAGGGCUUUUGAGUAGGCCUUCUGAUGUUCUUUGUAGGCCUGUUUGUGCACGGUCAGUCCUGAGGCUUUGAGACGACGCUCCAGGAUGCAUCCAGUUGACUUCAUCAGACGCAGCUCACUGGUGUACCAGGGGGCUGAGCAUGAAAAAGUGACUGUUUUGUUUUUUAUGGGGGCGUGGAUACCUAGAAGUUUGGCCAAAGAGUUAUUGUAAUAG